rnacentral:rRNA from 1 species
AACGAACGCUGGCGGCAGGCUUAACACAUGCAAGUCGAACGCCCCGCAAGGGGAGUGGCAGACGGGUGAGUAACGCGUGGGAAUCUACCUAGUUCUACGGAACAACAGAGGGAGACUUCUGCUAAUACCGUAUACGCCCUAAGGGGGAAAGAUUUAUCGGAAUUAGAUGAGCCCGCGUAAGAUUAGCUAGUUGGUGGGGU